rnacentral:rRNA from 1 species
UCGUCAGCUCGUGUCGUGAGAUGUUGGGUUAAGUCCCGCAACGAGCGCAACCCACGUCUUUAGUUGCCAGCAUUCAGUUGGGCACUCUAGAGAGACCGCCGGUGAUAAACCGGAGGAAGGUGUGGAUGACGUCAAGUCAUCAUGCCCCUUACAUCCUGGGCUACACACGUACUACAAUGCUACGGACAAAGGGCAGCAAACUCGCGAGAGCUAGCAAAUCCCAUAAACCGUGGCUCAGUUCAGAUCGUAGGCUGCAACUCGCCUACGUGAAGGAGGAAUCGCUAGUAAUCGCAGGUCAGCAUACUGCGGUGAAUACGUUCCCGGGCCUUGUACACACCGCCCGUCACACCAUGGAAGUUGGCCACGCCCGAAGCCGUUACUCCAACCUUGUGGAGGAGA